rnacentral:rRNA from 1 species
UACGAAGGGUGCAAACGUUGCUCGGAAUCAUUGGGCGUAAAGCGCACGUAGGCGGCCUCAUAAGUCGGAUGUGAAAUCCCGCGGCUCAACCGUGGAAGUGCAUCCGAAACUGCGAGGCUCGAGUAUGGAAGAGGGUCGCAGAAUUCCCGGUGUAGAGGUGAAAUUCGUAGAUAUCGGGAGGAAUACCAGUGGCGAAGGCGGCGACCUGGGCCAAUACUGACGCUGAGGUGCGAAAGCGUGGGGAGCAAACAGG